rnacentral:rRNA from 1 species
UACAGAGGUCUCAAGCGUUGUUCGGAUUCAUUGGGCGUAAAGGGUGUGUAGGUGGCGCCGUAAGUCGGGUGUGAAAUUUCGGAGCUUAACUCCGAAACUGCAUUCGAUACUGCGGUGCUUGAGGACUGGAGAGGAGACUGGAAUUCAUGGUGUAGCAGUGAAAUGCGUAGAGAUCAUGAGGAAGACCAGUGGCGAAGGCGGGUCUCUGGACAGUUCCUGACACUGAGGCACGAAGGCCAGGGGAGCAAACAGG